CCAAUAACGAGACGACACUUGGUUUUGAGGUCAAGCAGAACUGACUGUACUGGCACAUACAGCCUAUUUUAUUCACAAUCCACAAACAUAGUACUGCCCACAGGGUUUUGAAAUAAAACCAAUCAAUCCGCAAGCAUGGCCCCAUGCCCAAAACAGUUCCACAGAAUCAGGGCUAACGGUCUGUCUCUCUGUCUGGAGUACAAAAGUACAUAACUCACAUGAACAGAGCCUGUUUAAAGUAUUUUAGCCAUGUUUUUCACAGGGGCCAUAGUCACAGGAUAGGAGGCUGGCAAACAGGCCACUCCAAAAACCAGUGGUGAAAUUGCUUUCAUCACACUUAGUAUUAGUAAAUUCUGCCCCUACUCACUAUACCGCAAGUAGGG